UACGAAGGGGGCUAGCGUUGCUCGGAAUCACUGGGCGUAAAGGGUGCGUAGGCGGGUCUUUAAGUCUGGGGUGAAAUCCCGGAGCUCAACUCCAGAACUGCCUUUGAUACUGAAGAUCUUGAGUUCGGGAGAGGUGAGUGGAACUGCGAGUGUAGAGGUGAAAUUCGUAGAUAUUCGCAAGAACACCAGUGGCGAAGGCGGCUCACUGGCCCGAUACUGACGCUGAGGUGCGAAAGCGUGGGGAGCAAACAGG
rnacentral:rRNA from 1 species